GAGUGGGGCUGAGCAGCGGGCCGCGCCGAGCGCCGAGCUCUGCCGGAGAGGCCCGGCCCCGCUGCCCAAGCAGGCCGCGCGCCGCGGGGCCGAGGCCGGAGCCAUGGGCGAGACCAAGAUCAUCUACCACCUGGACGGCCAGGAGACGCCGUACCUGGUGAAGCUGCCCCUGCCCGCCGAGCGCGUCACCUUGGCGGACUUUAAGGGCGUUCUGCAGCGGCCCAGCUAUAAGUUCUUCUUCAAGUCUAUGGACGACGAUUUUGGGGUGGUGAAGGAAGAGAUCUCGGACGACAAUGCCAAGCUACCCUGCUUCAAUGGCCGGGUGGUGUCCUGGCUGGUAUCUGCCGAGGGCUCACACCCAGAGCCGGCCCCUUUCUGUGCUGACAACCCGUCAGAGCUGCCACCUUCGAUGGAACGCACAGGAGGCAUUGGGGACUCUCGACCCCCCUCCUUCCACCCUCAUGCUAGUGGGGGCAGCCAGGAGAAUCUGGACAAUGACACGGAGACCGACUCCUUGGUGUCUGCCCAACGAGAGCGGCCCCGACGGAGGGAUGGCCCGGAGCACGCAGCCCGACUCAAUGGAACCACAAAGGGUGAGCGGCGACGGGAGCCAGGCGGCUAUGACAGUUCAUCUACCCUCAUGAGCAGCGAGCUGGAGACUACCAGUUUCUUUGAUUCCGAUGAGGAUGAUUCCACCAGCAGGUUCAGCAGCUCCACAGAACAGAGCAGUGCCUCACGCCUCAUGAGAAGACACAAGCGGCGGCGGCGGAAGCAGAAGGUCUCCCGGAUUGAGCGGUCCUCGUCUUUCAGCAGCAUCACAGACUCCACUAUGUCUCUCAACAUCAUCACCGUCACUCUCAACAUGGAAAAGUAUAACUUCUUGGGCAUCUCCAUUGUGGGCCAAAGCAAUGAGCGAGGUGAUGGGGGCAUCUACAUUGGCUCCAUCAUGAAGGGUGGGGCUGUGGCAGCUGAUGGACGCAUUGAGCCAGGAGAUAUGCUACUGCAGGUAAAUGAGAUCAACUUCGAGAACAUGAGCAACGAUGACGCAGUCCGAGUCCUUCGGGAGAUUGUGCACAAGCCAGGGCCCAUCACUCUGACUGUAGCCAAGUGCUGGGACCCAAGUCCUCGCGGCUGCUUCACAUUACCCCGGAGCGAGCCCAUCCGUCCCAUUGACCCUGCAGCCUGGGUCUCUCACACGGCAGCCAUGACAGGCACCUUCCCCGCCUAUGGCAUGAGCCCCUCCUUAAGCACCAUCACCUCUACCAGCUCCUCCAUCACCAGCUCCAUCCCUGAUACAGAGCGCCUAGAUGAUUUCCACCUCUCCAUCCACAGUGACAUGGCGGCCAUCGUAAAAGCCAUGGCCUCCCCUGAGUCAGGGUUGGAGGUCCGAGACCGCAUGUGGCUCAAGAUUACCAUUCCCAAUGCUUUCAUCGGUGAGAGAGCCUUACUACAAGAUGAAGGACAGGCUCGGAUGUGGUGGACUGGCUGUACCACAACGUGGAAGGGUUCACCGACCGUCGGGAGGCCCGCAAGUAUGCUAGCAACCUGCUGAAAGCUGGUUUCAUCCGCCAUACCGUCAACAAGAUCACGUUCUCCGAGCAGUGCUACUACAUCUUUGGCGACCUCUGUGGUAACAUGGCCAACCUAUCGCUUCACGACCAUGAUGGCUCCAGUGGCGCCUCUGACCAGGACACACUGGCUCCUUUGCCGCACCCAGGAGCUGCCCCUUGGCCUAUGGCUUUCCCUUACCAGUACCCACCACCUCCGCAUCCCUACAACCCACACCCAGGCUUCCCAGAACUGGGCUACAGCUACGGUGGGGGCAGCGCCAGCAGUCAGCACAGUGAAGGCAGUCGGAGCAGUGGCUCCAACCGAAGUGGCAGCGACCGGCGCAAGGAGAAGGACCCAAAAGCUGGGGACUCCAAGUCAGGUGGUAGCGGCAGCGAGUCAGACCACACUACACGCAGCAGUCUGAGGGGGCCACGGGAGCGGGCACCAAGCGAGCGAUCAGGCCCAGCGGCCAGCGAGCACAGCCACCGCAGUCACCAUUCGCUGACCAGCAGCCUGCGCAGCCACCACACACACCCAAGCUAUGGCCCACCCGGAGUGCCCCCUCUCUAUGGUCCCCCGAUGCUGAUGAUGACCCCGCCGCCGGCAGCCAUGGGUCCCCCAGGAGCCCCUCCAGGGCGUGACCUGGCCUCGGUGCCCCCGGAACUGACGGCCAGCAGACAGUCCUUCCGCAUGGCAAUGGGAAACCCCAGUGAGUUCUUUGUGGAUGUGAUGUGAUCAGGGCCCCUCUCCAGCUCUUACCUCUCAGCCGGCUGCACCCCCAUCUCCAUCAGUCGGCCUUUUUUUUUUUUUUUCCUUUUUUUUAAAAACACUUUGGUACCUGAAAGGGAAAUAAAUGGAACUAACUGCUACUGUUUGCUGGUAGCAGCAAGGAUGAGGGUGUCUCUACUCAUCCAUGCUACAGCCCCUAACCUGCCUCUAGUCCAGCUGGUGCCUCUGCCCACUAACCAGCCCCCAUUCCACCCAGUUCUGGAAUUCCCAGGAUUUUUCAAGUCCCUGGCUCUGCACUGCUGUUGUUAACUCCUGAUGCUCCACUCGCACAUUUAGGAACUGACCCCUGGGGUGUCACACCUUAAGCCCACCCUUUCUACCCUCAGUCCCCUUUUGCCCACCUCCUUAAGCAUGUGUACAGAGUUCUUGAUAUUGCCCCACCAUACUGACACCGAAAAAAGGUCUUUUCCUUUCUAACUGCCCUGCCCGCUGCGUCAGACCUUCACCCUACAGCUGUAGCCACCUCGAGUCGGCAUCUGUGCUGUCUGUCCCUGCUUGGACCCAAUCAGAACCCCAGAGAGCCUCCCCUCAGCUGCCAGGGCCACUAGUGGCUUCCAGGGACUAUCUCUGCUAGGCCUAGACCCCAUCCAUGCCUGUCCUGUGUGCUGGUCCCCUGAGAUCUAACCCUACUAACCAAUAGGCUCAUCUAACUUCUGAGCCUGAAACAGUUUUCUUCUUUUUUCUUCCUUCAAAUUUCCCUGGGCCUGGAGCAGCCAAGAAUUUCGGGCUCUUUGACUUUCUGUGAGUCCCCAGGAAGGGGAGGCCCAGCCUCCAAGGAGACCAGGAACUCUGCUUCAGCAGCCCCUCAGGGCUUCCCAAGGAUGUCCAACCCUCACACCCACACUACAAGGUCACUAGGCUUCUGGGAAGGACCUCAGCUUCCCCCAGGUGUAAGACUGUUCUUCUCAGAGAGAAGUAGAGAAGUUUGCUUCCCUCCACCUCGUACACAUAGAUAUAUACAUACACGUGAGUCUCUCUCUCUCUCUCUCUCUCUCUCUCUCUCUCUCUCUCUCUCUCUCUCUCUCUCCGUACACAUAGAUAUAUACACACACGUGAGUCUCUCUCUCUCUCUCUCUCUCUCUCUCUCUCUCUCUCUCUCUCACACACACACACACACACACACACACACACACACACACACACACACACACACACACACACACACACGCCUCAGGGCUGGUCCCUGACCGGAGGGCUGGACCCUUCUUCCAAGUCAUCCCUAGAUAUGGGGCUGGUCCGUGACUGCCCUCUCCUCUUCCUGCUAGCCCUUACGCUUCCCAUACAUGUUCCCAAUGUCUUUGUACUUGGAUAAAGCCCAAAAGAUGGGCUCCACAGAGGGCUGUCCAGGUGACUGACAGGCCAUUCUCUACUUCCCUCCUACACCCCCACCCCACCCCCAUAUCCUUAUAACUGUUCUGUUUUCAUCUUCUCCAUGAGACCUGGGAACACAGGCCAGUUGGAGCUUAAGCAGACAACUGGGACUUCCAAACAGCUCCAGUUAUUUUGAAAAUUGUUUUCUACCUUAAAUCACAAAUUUCUCUUUAAAACUCUGCUAUAUAAACUCUGACUUAUCCAGACUCUUAACUCUUCAGGGCAAGGGUGUCAGCUGGGAACAUAGCUCUGUAGUGUCUGCCUAGCAUGCCCCAGCAAAUGUCUCCCCCCAUCAGGAUGUCCUUAGUCCAGGUUUGGGGGCAACUUGAAGUAGGGCUGUUUUGCCAUUCAUUCAUCCGUUUAACACCUUUUCUGGGAUUUUAAUGAACAAAGGGCUAUGUUAGAAGCAUGAUUUGAUCUUAGCUGUCUUCGGUUCUCUCUAACUCUGCCUUUUCCUGUGAUCUUGAGAAUCCCUCGUCAGUGCUCACUUGUGCGCUGGACGCCAGUACCCUUGUCAUCCUGUCUUUGGCUCACAUCUCCUCCUUUCCCACUCCCAUGAUAGUGUCAGCCAUUCUCUUCUUAAGCUGUUGAUAUGCUGGCCACUUCUAAAUCUGGAUCUCCAACCCCAGCUUCCCCUCUCUUUAGACCUGUUUUUAUUACCCACUGGACAUCUCCACAGGCAUGUCCAUAAUAGUCAAGCAUUAUUCCUCUUGAAUUCCUGUCCUGGUGACCUUCGUUACAAGCUACACCUACAUGGUAUUAGUCAGCAUCACACACCCUUCUACUCUUGACACUCUGAAGUUCAGCUGUUCCUCUCCCUUUCUUAAUUUACAGAGCAUGGGAUUUGGAGUCAAGUUGGUUUGGGCUUGAAUUCCAGCUCUCAUUUUUGGUUGUGUAAAAGAGUUAUUUAACCUCUCUGGAGCCUCAGUCCUCCCAUAUGUAAAAUGAUGAUAAUAAUACCUACCUCACAGGGUUGUUGUGAGGAAUUAGAUAUUGUACGAAAAGUGCCUAGCACAGUGCCUGGCACACAAUAGAGUAGGUGCUCAAUAAAUGGUAGCUAUUAUUAUUA